ensembl:snRNA U6 U6 spliceosomal RNA
GUGCUCACUUUGGCAGCACAUAUACUUAAAUUGGAACGAUACAAAGAAGAUUAGCAUGGCCCCUGCUCAAGGAUGACAUGCAAAUUGGUGAAGCAUUUCAUGUUUUU